GAAACUACCAUAUCAAAUUAUUAUCCAUUAUCUGUGGGAUUCAGACAUUUAAGGCUUGUAAAAUACAAACAAACGUCAAGCGCAUGCUCGUUCCAGGAUCAUUGGAGCUGUUGGUCCCUUCUCCCUAUGGUUUCACCUUCUUGUCCAUGGCGUCACACAUUGCAACAUUAUAAUCUUGUCUUCCCAAAGUACAGAUUCCUAAAUUCCAGAUACAAAUGAUGACCCGCAAGGACAUGUAGGAUCUUAGGUGUACAGUCACUAUUUUUGUGAUAUACAUCGCAUAAACAUGUGCAAUUUGAAUUGGACAAAAACAUUACUUUUUAGUAUUCUUGCCUCAACACCUUCCACACUUUGAAGAUCAAACUAGUCAGUCAGUUGCUGCAUUCAUGCAUUCUGGAGCCCAAUUUUGGAGACCAAAAAAUUCCUGCACUUAAAACUAGAAAAAUAACUGUUAUUUAUUCUCUCUCCCAGGCACCAAUUGUUACUUCCGUAAUAAGAGGUGUCAUACAUAGUGCACAUCAAUCUAUUUAUUCCACAGGGAGCCACUACUUAUGACAACUCUGUCUUACAUUUACAUGGCCAGUAUAUUGAGGUGGAGUUUGACUGCCUGCAUAUAGUUCUUGUAUAAGCUUCUCACUAUUGUGUGUGUUAGUGUGUUUCAUUUUGCAGAUCUACAUAAUGAUUAAAGACCAAAUCUAGGAGCAUGAAAUUAAAUUUCCAAUCCUACUAAAAGUCAAAAGCUUGGUAGGGCAUAUUAUUUGUAACUAUUGCAAGAACGUGGUUAGAAGAGGGAAUUUCAAGGUUGAAGCAUCUUUUGGUAGAUGGAAAACAUGGUGUAAGAAUCUCUGUGCUGAUUUUCCUCAAGAUGAAAGCACCUUCUUCAAAAAGCACGAAGAAUUUGAGGGUAAUGAAAGGGAAAGAUAAAAUAUUUGAAAUUUGAAGAAGUGCCAUAUAUUAUGGUUCAACAUGGACAGAUGCAAAUGAUGUCGAAGUUAGUGCUACUAAUAUUGGUAAGAAAAAUAAUGUAAUGGGCCAAUUGAUCUAGUUGUUAGCAUAGGAGGAGGCUACAAUCAGCAGUGCAUUGAUGGAAGAAAAGAAAGGAAAGAGAAAUGGUGAUGCUAUAGGUAAAUUUUUUUGUUUAUAAAUGCUUUACUCUUCAAUCUUUGCAGGAGAUGUUAUUUUGCCCCUACAAUAGAGGCUACCCAAGAUUAUGGCCAAGAACUAAAGCCACUUUCUUACCAUGAGACAAGGACAUGGUAAAAGAAAAACGAAAUAGAGCAGAACACACAUUAAAUGCCAGAAGUUUAAAGUUCAUAGGUGAAAGUUGAUAAUACUAACAUGGUUGACGGUUGGACUGAGAAUAAGCAGAGGCAAUUGCUUAAUUUUCUUGUUAAUGGUUCAGUUUUCAAUGGAAAAGAAUGAUGUUCCAUGUCAAAUAUUUGAAGCUGUAAAAGAAGUUGAGCUGAAAGGGUAGCCUUUUUCGUUCACAAAGAAUGCACCUAAUUUUGUUGUUGCUGAAAAGAAGUUGAAAAAUGAAAAUAUUGUAUGGGGCCAUUGGUCAUUGUGUGCUGCUCACCGCAUAGAUUUUAGGCUCAAGAAUACUGGAAAAAAUGAGCACAUGUAGAGACAAUUUUCAAGACAAGAUGUAUCACAAAAUAAACCUAAAGUCAUGCAUGGGCUCUUAAUUCGAGGAGAAGGCAUACAGAUAAGAUGGAACCGUAGCACCCUGCAACCACACGUUUUGACAAAUCUUGCGUUGCUCUCCAAAAACCAUUGCAUGUCUCAAGAAAGAAUUGAAGGCAAUAUUUUUGAGUCAAAUUUCAAACAAGUAGUUACUUCAGGAAACCUGAAGCUAAGCAAGUUUUCCAUAUUAUUAUGGAAGACCAGAAAGGAAUGCAGUAGUAUUUACAAUUAAAGCAACCAUGCCUCCUGUCGAAGUUUUAACAAUAGUAGUUGUAAUGAAAGAACACCAAAAGAGGUUUUAUUUAAAGCAAUGAAUGUGGCAACAGAGCAAAAAGCCGCCAAUUUAGAUUUACGAAGAUUGAAAACCACAAAGCCCCUAUGCAAUAUAAUCGAAAAAAGAUAGAAUGUAUAACUUCAUCUACCAAGCAGGAUUUUAUUUGAGACUGCAUUUUCAUUAUGAUGGCAAUUGUGACGUUGAUAAACAAAUUAUGGAUGAAUUAUAUAAAAUUAUAUCGACAAAUUGGUGGCAAAUCCCAUGGUUCAUUUAACAGUUAGAUAAUUGGAUGCAUUUAUAUACCCUCACAGCUUAUUAUUUUUAUUUUCUAAUACUAUCUUGAACCAUUGAUAUUGAAAUUAUAUCAUAUUUCUUAUAUUUUAUUGUUACAUGUAGUUGAUUGGUAGAUCUCAUUUGGAUGAGGCUAGUGCCCUGUUUGAAAAGGUAGAACUGUGUGGUGGUUGGGGAACUUUAGUUCAAAUUUGCUGAGAAGUUCAGCCAUGAAGCAAACGUGGAACUUUUGUGCCAGUACUUUAGGGGGAGGAGUUCAGUUUAAUGCCGGGACUUUUUUUUUUUUCCCUGUUGGAAAAUCACCCGUUAGGGCACGCUCGACCUCCUCUCCUUUUCUCUUCUCAACACAGACGCAGCUUCCGCCCGAGCUUUCUUCCAACUUGCUGUCGUCUUCCGCAAGAGCUUCACCUGCAACUUCCCCUUGCUUACCAGGUAACUCUCCUUCCCCAUCUCGCUUCCCCCUUUCUGCCUUCCCUGUCUCCAACCUUUCUCAUCUCUCUUCCUUGUCUCCCCUUCCCCGUCUCUUCCCCAUCUCCCCCUUCCCGGUCUCCCCUUCACACUUCUCUUUCUCGUCCCCAUCUCUCCCUUCCCUUUCUCCGCUUCCUGUCUCCCCAAUCAGCAUGCUCAAGGCUGCAAGGAUCAAUCACAGUGAUCCGUGAUCCCCAGCACGUAAUGGAUGUAUUAUUCAAUAAGAUUGAAUCCUGUCUCUCUCUUCCCCUUCCCUGUCUUUUUUCCCUGUCCCCGUCUCUCCUUUCCUGGUCUCCUCUUGUCCCCGCCUCUCUUCCACAUCUCUCUUCUCCAUCCCCAACUCUCCCUUCCCUAUUUCCCUUUCUUGUCUCUUGUCCCCGUCUCCCCGAUGGGCACGAUCAAGGCUGCAAGGAUCGCGUCACAGCAAUCCCCGACACAUAACGGAUGUAUUAUUCUAUAAGAUUGAAUCCCUCUCUCAUAAAGUUGAAUUCCAAUUGUCUGUUUCCUUUAUGGAGGUUUGUCAGUUGUCCUUGCCUUUCUUUUUACAUGUGCAUCAAAACUUCAGUGUUCGGUUUUGGGGUUCUUUCUGAGCUGCUGAAUUGACAUGAUUAUACGAAAUCUUAGAUGUUUAAUGCAGCACGCUGUGUUUUGGAAACAGCAUAACCUUCGUUUGCAGUAAAUUUUAGAUGGUUCAAGCAAAAUAAUUUAAAUACUGAAAAUAAAAUGCCUCUAUUUUUGAAGUGCAGGGAAAUGGAAAAUAGAGCUAGAACUGUUUUGCAACUCAUUAUGGUAAAUAUAACCAAGAGAAAGUAGCCCUCUCUCCCUGCAUAAUCUCAAUCUGUUAUCGGUUCCUAACUCAACAAUGAUACAGUUGAUCAGUGGCUGUCUAAAAGUGUGCAAACAUAUUUUUGUUCCACUUCCAUCUGCUGUUUUGAUAGUUUAUAUAAUGUUCUCAUUUUUUAAGUUUUUCUUGUAUGCCUGCAACGGCUUGAAACUAUGGUUAACUUUUUGAUGUGAUCUCAAAAGAGGAAGUGAAUGAUUUGCUUGAUCCUGGAACCCUGGGGACGUCGGAUGCACUGAAUGGGACAGGGGAGACAGCAGCUCAUGGGCAGCAACCUAUACAGAUACGUGAAAACUCAAGUGGAGUGAUAACUUUCUUCCCCAUCUUUAUCUAUACACAUACAGCUGCCUUAUACACUUGCACAACUGUAGUCGCAAUUAAAACAGACAUAGGAUAUUCUAAUUUUAAUGUCACAUGCAAAGAUUUCAAGUUAGAUAAGUGCUCUGAUCAGUCAAUUCCCCCCUUCUAUUGCCUUUUUUUUUUCUACUUUUUGCCCUAUUUUUAACAGUCGUUCACAAUACCAUGGAGCAGAUCCAUAAAGUAGAUCUAGCAUUUUCGGCUGAAGAAGAGCAAGGAGAGGAGACAGAUGAAGAUUAUCUUUGUGCAAAGCUCCACUUGGUGGAUCUUGCUGGUUCAGAAAAUGCUAAACGGACAGGCUCUGAUUGCCUUCGUUUUAAGGAAGAAUGUUCAUGACGUACUUUUCCCUUUCCAAUUUGUGGUUGUGCAAGGGAUGUUAUGAAUCAUCUUCCAAAUACAACCGGGUUGUUACAUUCAAGUGGUACUUUAGUUCCAUGCAUAAACAAACAUGGAAGUAAAAUAUCCGGAGCAAAAGUGCCAGAAUAUCAAACACAAUGGGGCAUCUGGAAGGUGGAACGAAACUUGCACCAAAAAUGUACCCCGUACUAAAUACCAGCACUUUGAUGCCUGGGUAUUUAGUCCCAGGUGCGUAGAAAAAGGCUUGAACAAGAGAAUAGGAAUGCACUAAUGCUUGUUAUAUAUCAUAUGAAACUAAGAGAGAGGGACAUCAACUAAGGGGUGUCAAAUGAUCCAAACAUUUGAAGAACACUGAUUGUGAUGAUGAGUGGAUUUUCAAGAAAUAAUCCAGUGUUGCCAAUAAAUCUCUAUUCAAGUUUAGAUCUAGCAUUCAACAUAAGUGGCGAUGCAAGAUGUGCCUCUGGAACGGGCAAAAGUUUCAAUUGAGGCAUGUAGGAAAGCAAAGUCGACAGCAAGCAGACAAGAAAGCAAGGACAAGGAAAAAAUGUAUUGAUGCUCAGGAGGAGAGUGCCGUGUGGAAGAAACAAAGAAUGAAGAUGACGAGCCAGGACAAAUGGACGAUUCCAAUGAUGAUGCCAUUGAUGAUUAAGAUAUUGAAAAUAAUGAAACAGAAGAUGAGUCUAUGCUAAACUAAAAACCUCCACAUGAUUGGAUGGAGAACUGAUGCAUAGAAUGAAAAACAGGAGCAUAUACUCAACUACGGAAAGAAAGUUAUCAUCACACAGCA